CCCAAAUAUCCAUCACUGACCGUAAACAUCUACUGAUCUAAACUGUUUAAUACCUGUUGAUCCACUAAACCUAUCAAUACAUGUAAAUAACUGGUGUAAAAUACACAUUAUAAAAGGAAAG